rnacentral:rRNA from 1 species
GACGAACGCUGGCGGCGUGCCUAAUACAUGCAAGUUGAGCGCUGAAGGUUGGUACUUGUACCGACUGGAUGAGCAGCGAACGGGUGAGUAACGCGUGGGGAAUCUGCCUUUGGGCGGGGGACAACAUUUGGAAACGAAUGCUAAUACCGCAUAAAAACUUUAAACACAAGUUUUAAGUUUGAAAGAUGCAAUUGCAUCACUCAAAGAUGAUCCCGCGUUGUAUUAGCUAGUUGGUGAGGUAAAGGCUCACCAAGGCGAUGAUACAUAGCCGACCUGAGAGGGUGAUCGGCCACAUUGGGACUGAGACACGGCCCAAACUCCUACGGGAGGCAGCAGUAGGGAAUCUUCGGCAAUGGACGAAAGUCUGACCGAGCAACGCCGCGUGAGUGAAGAAGGUUUUCGGAUCGUAAAACUCUGUUGGUAGAGAAGAACGUUGGUGAGAGUGGAAAGCUCAUCAAGUGACGGUAACUACCCAGAAAGGGACGGCUAACUACGUG